AGUAUAACAAUAAUCACUUUUGUAUAGAAUAUUGAUUCCUUUCCAUAUCUAUUUUAUAAACCAAACAUGAUCUAAAUGAUUUUGUCUUGAAAUUGGUCAAAAAAUAAGUCUUUACUGGGAGACAAAAUCCACAAUAUAUCGUGCAAACUAUUAGCCCAUGCAGCAGAUGGAUUUGUUGCCGUGAAGGUUGCUGAAGUUUACAAACAGUUGGGAAAUUGUGGUAGGUGGAGGUAAGAUAGCAACUGCAUGAGACACACCCGUGAUAUUUUGCAAUCUACCCCGUGACCCACUAACUGCCAUCCCUUCCGCAAGAGGCCACCAGUCUUUAUUUUGGACAAAGGUUCUUGAUGUUAUUCCAUGCUUUCACUAUUAUUAUUCUUAUUAUGAUUCCUUUCUUGGGUUAAAUCUAAUAAUUUUCACUCACAUGAAUGUCAUAAUUUACCAGCC